GGCCGAGCCGCCGCCGCGCCCGCUCCAUGGAGGCCGCGGCCCAGGGCCCGGCGGGGCCCGCGGCGCUCAGCUGCUUCUCCUACAACCAGGACUGCACCUCCCUGGCAAUUGGAACCACAACUGGAUACAGGCUUUUCUCCUUAAGUUCUGUGGAGCAACUGGACCAGGUCCAUGAGAGCAAUGAAAUCCCAGAUGUUUACAUCGUGGAGCGUCUGUUCUCCAGCAGCCUCGUGGUUGUGGUCAGUCAUGCCAAGCCACAGCAAAUGAAUGUCUACCACUUCAAGAAAGGGACAGAGAUCUGCAACUAUAGCUAUUCCAGUAAUAUUUUGUCCAUCCGGCUGAAUCGUCAGAGGCUGAUCGUUUGCCUAGAGGAGUCAAUUUACAUCCAUAACAUUAAGGACAUGAAGCUUUUGAAGACUAUUCUGGAUACGCCUCCAAAUACAACAGGUCUGUGUGCUCUCUCGAUUAACCAUGCCAACUCCUACUUGGCUUAUCCCGGCAGCACAACCAGCGGAGAGAUCGUGCUUUACGAUGGAAAUACUUUGAAAACAGCCUGCACAAUUCCUGCCCAUGAUGGGCCUCUGGCUGCUCUAACCUUCAACUCUACCGGGUCGAAGCUGGCGAGCGCUUCCGAAAAAGGCACAGUCAUUCGUGUAUUUUCCAUUCCUGGUGGGCAAAAGCUCUACGAAUUCCGGCGAGGGAUGAAAAGGUAUGUGAACAUCAGCUCUCUGGUAUUCAGUAUGGAUUCCCAGUUCCUGUGUGCUUCAAGUAACACAGAGACCGUGCACAUCUUUAAACUGGAACAUCUCACUGACAGCCGACCAGAAGAGCCUCCAACCUGGAGUGGUUACAUGGGAAAGAUGUUCCAGGCCGCCACCAACUACCUCCCUGCUCAAGUAUCAGGAAUGAUGAACCAGGAUCGAGCUUUUGCUACUGUCCGCUUAAACAUCUCUGGACAAAGGAACAUCUGUGCCCUUUCCACGAUUCAGAAGCUGCCUCGAUUGUUGGUGACAACGUCAGAUGGACAUCUCUAUAUCUACAACCUGGACCCACAAGAUGGAGGGGAGUGUGUCUUAAUUAAGAAACACAGUCUGCUUGCCUCAGGAAAGAUGGAGGAGAACAAAGAAAAUGACCUCCAGCCUCCAUUACCUCAGACUUAUGCAGCAACUGUAGCCAGACAAAGUACAGUGCCUUCAACUUCAACCAUGCCAGGUUAUUCAGAGGAUGGUGGCGCCCUGCGAGGAGAGGUUAUCCCAGAGCAUGAGUUUGCAACUGGACCAGUGUGUCUUGAUGACGAGAAUGAGUUUCCUCCUGUGAGCAUUCAGGAUCCGUAAAACAGCAAUACAACCCUCAUGCUAAGAAGAAAAUAUUAACCUCUUACAGAAGAGAUAUCAUUGCCCCCACCUUGUCCCAGUUCACUGUGAAGCUUAAGAUAACUAAUUAAGUUAUAGGGACAGAGCCAGGAAGAUUACACCCCUACUGAAUGGCAGCUAGGGAUGGGGAAAGAUGAUCAAACCUAAUAAUUAGAGAUGGAUCUGAACAAAUUAGCUGAAUGAAGUUCAGGUGCAGAAUGACGUUCAGAUCCAGAUCUGACCUUUGUGCCUUGCACGUAUCUUGACUGCUAAUAAGCAGGAAUAGCUUUAAUUUGAACAACACCAUCACUUAGAAAUAAACACUUAAUAUUCCCUGCACCAUUUUCAGUCAGUUUUGUUAGUGUAUGAAAAAGCAACCAGGACAUAACUGAAUCUCACCAGUCCUCUUAUUUCCAAGCCAACUAUAAAGGAAACUCCUUUUCCCAAUACAAAGAUGAAAAGCCUUUAAAAUAUUUUAUGAUUUUUAAAUAGCACUUUCUCUGUUGGCAUUGGAAGGACAUACUAGCUUUAAAAAAAUCUAACUUAAGCCUGGCAGUGUCUCUCCUGCUCCUCUUCCUAUUAUAACAGCAUUUAUUAUGUUAAAUAUUUAAUCCUUAAAUGGACAGAGCUUGGUUAUCAUGAUAUGACCUGGUUGUAAUCAGCAGUCUCUUCAUAAUAGUAAUACAUUAAUACAGCAGCAUAUUGUAAUGGAUUUGUAAACUUGGCAGACUUUUGAAUCCUUUACUCUAUCUUUACACAUCUUGCUGUUGGAAUUUUGCCUGAAGGAGGAGGAAGUAAAAACUUCACUGGGGUCCCAGGAUUUGUUCCAUAUGUUGAGGCUGACCUCCUCUGUAAGGCGCUUUCAACUGAUGCAAAGUGUUACGUAAAAAAUGACUAGCUCAUGACUCCAUUUUAAACACGACCUAAAUCCAGCUUUUCAAGUCACAUAAACUUUGGACCAAAUCUCUUUUGUUACCUGUAGCAUAACCUAUUGCAAACUCAGAACAAAAGUUUUCUGUUUGUCCUAUUCUGUUACCUAGGAAGGAUAUUUAAAAUGUCUCCCCUCUUGCCAGAGCUGCUGGCCCAGGCAUCUGGAAGGAAUGUUCCUAGGAGCAGCAGGGCCAGGAAGGAAUCCUUUACUUCUUUCUAUGAACCUACACUUGAACAUGUGGCUUGGGGACAAGCAAAUGCCAGCAAGCAGGAAUCACGCUGCUCCUGAAUGAGUGUGCCUGCUGGGACUAGGCAGUAUGAAAGCAGCCCCAAACCCCUGCUGUACAACAGCAGGUGCUUCAUUAGAUGAACUUUGAUCUGUCAAAAUCCUGCGCUGUAAUUAACCUGACAGAGGAACUUACAUGUGUAACAUAGGGAGGAGGUGGUGUGGGAGGGAAGGAGUUUUCCAGAAAUACUCACUGCUAUGGUGGCGUAGCAAUAGGAGCUUCCAGGUAAAGUGUCUGCAGCUAGGACUUCAGUUUUUUUCCCCUCUGUUGCUGGAAGUAGUGUGUUGUGCAGCUGGUCUCCUUGCCAGUGCAGCAUUGGCUCCUGCUGUGAUAGUUUGUAAGGAGAGCCGGUCAGGAUGUUUUGAUGCUCUGAAUUUUCACUGAACUCUGCUGUUUUCUCAGUGCUAAAAUGUUCAGUCUCAAUGACUCGUUCAGAAGGGGUUUCAGGAAUUGGUCACUUCUGUGCAAAGGAGGGAGAGAAAACCUGACCUUAUCCAACAAAAAUGUUUUGACAGCAUUCUCUUUUGUGGAAACAUGGGAAGGGUUUUGUUUGUCUUUCAGAGUGCAACAAAAAGAUGUUUACAAACCUCAAAACUUGUGACAAAAUGGAAUAUUCACCCACAGCCCAUGCCACGAGUAUGGCUUUGAACUUAGACAUACUUCUGGGGAAAGAGCAGUGCUUAGAACCCAGCAGUGCCUCUCCGUUUUAAAACAUUUUGCCUUUCCCUGACCUCAAGUGCUGGAAACUGCCUCUUCAUUAACUAGGAGGAGGGACAGGUCAGAGAAGAGAUGAGAAACCCAGGGAGGACUUAUGUGAUUUUAAAAACUGACCUCAACAAGAAUUAAUGAUGUGGAUGUUGUUACUGAUUAUGCCAGCACUGCUGAAGAAUCCUGUAGCAAGAGGUUAAACAAGUUCAAUUACGUAUCUUGCUUGCAUUGAUAGGGGUGGAUUAAAUGCUUUCAGGUCCACUAAGGAGCUUGGAAUUGCUGUUGAUCUUAUGCGGAAAGUACUCAGAUGUUAUUGAGAUGGACAGCAGGCUAAAAGCUAAUCCGAGGAAAAGGUGCUGUGCUUGAGAAUUGCCGGGAGAAGCCGCAUCACCCUUCUGGUGAUCAGACUUUGCAGUAGGGGAAGAAUGAACCCAGCUCUGUUUAUUUGACAGUUGUUUCUAGUUUUACCUACAGUUAUGCCUGCGAAUGGUGUGUCAGUUCCUGUUGUUUUCUGAUUAUCUGUCCAAGCAGUUGCCACUUUUGUAGUAGUUCAUUAGAGUUGCAGAAGCUUCUAGCAGUUCUGGGAGUUGUUGGUAUAUGCUUUGUGCCUGGCAGUGCACUGCUGACACCAGCCUGGCUGCACAGCCAGCUCAGCCUUUCAGGGCCACCGUCGUUGCCCCCAAAAAUCAUAUUUAGAAAAGGUUUGGGGUAGUGUUACAAGGUUUUACACAAGAAUCCUACAGGAUGUAGCAAGAACGAAACAACAUGGCAAGUGUGGACCUGAAGAAUGCAUACCAGCAGAUCUUUCAAAACCUCUGAAAUCCAGUAGACAAGGUAUUUUCUUUCAGCAGAUUUCUCGGUGCUUUUCCAGGCACGCACCGUCAGUUCCUCCAUUUGGCUGCACUCUUCUGCAGGCUCUGAGAAUCAAAGCCUCAGGAACGGAGUUGAUCUGAAGGUUUUACCAGCAAAGCUGUUUCAUUAAGUCAAACUGUGCCUGGAGCCCGAGAGGUGCUGGCUGGCCACGUGCAGAGCCCGAGUAGGUUUGUGCAGGUCUCGUCCCGACGAUCAGCGUUAACCACCAGUUGGUCGCCGCAGCACGCAACGCGCGAGGUUGCUCCUCGGGAAGGACGGGCAGGAGCGUUAGCCCAGCCAUGCCUCCGGCGCCCAGCGGUCUGUGCACCGCAGCCUCCCCAGCACCCCGACAUGCCCACCGCAGGAGUACGGCUGUCCGCAGGCGGCAGAGACGCUCCCCUCCGUCAGUGCACUGGUGUGGGCUCUGUGCACGUCCCCGUUUGUCCAAACCACGGAUUCUUAAUACAAGUAAUCAGAUUGUUGCCGCAUCUUUGGCAACGCGUGACCUGUAUUUGUUCACGUUCCUCCCCACUGUUUGGAUGGCAUUUCCCUCUUUCAGUUGGGCAGACAUGUGAUGAUACUGAUUUUAAUUUUUUUUUCUGUUUUUUAGCUGCUGACUGUUAGGAUAGAAAAGGCAAAAGAUUUUGUCGUGGAGCUCGACUAAUAAUCAUUCUUCCCAAGGGGGAUGAGCAAGUUUGGCAGAAUCUGUCUGGCCUCCUGUUCCUUACAGCAGCUCCUGCCCCUCUAACUCCAACAGGCAUUUGGGGCAGCUGGGGCUUGCAGGAUGAAGCCCAGCUUAUCACCACAUUAACUGCAGUCCCUCUGGCAAUGUACAAUCCAGAGCCAAUGUUGUGAUCCUCAGAGUAGGGCAGGUGAUGUUCCCGAUCUCGGUGUGCCCUGGAGAGAGACAGCUCCUGGGCAGACCUUCCUGCAGCUGAGGCUGCAGGGACCGCAUCUGUACGUCUGGGAAACACAGGGCACUUUUGGAAAGGCUGGAGCUGACCAAAAGGGAGACCUGUGGUUAGUGUCCAAGCAGAGAUACCCACCUAUAGCUCUGCCCAAGCUUUAUCCAGAAUUAGGUGUAAAUCUUUCUGCAGGUCUCUAUUCCUAUGGCUUGUGUUUAAACAUGAGUAGCCAAUAUGAAGCAUUUUAAAGUC